CCUACGGGAGGCUGCAGUGGGGAAUAUUGCACAAUGGGGGAAACCCUGAUGCAGCGACGCCGCGUGAGCGAUGAAGUAUUUCGGUAUGUAAAGCUCUAUCAGCAGGGAAGAAAAUGACGGUACCUGACUAAGAAGCCCAGGCUAACUACGUGCCAGCAGCCGCGGUAAUACGUAGGGGGCAAGCGUUAUCCGGAUUUCCUGGGUGGAAAGGGAGCGUAGACGGUCCUGCAAGCCAGAUGUGAAAGCCCGGGGCUCAACCCCGGGACUGCAUUUGGAACUGUAAGGCUAGAGUGUCGGAGAGGCAGGCGGAAUUCCUAGUGUAGCGGUGACAUGCGUAGAUAUUAGGAGGAACACCAGUGGCGACGGCGGCCUGCUGGACGAUGACUGACGUUGAGGCUCGAACGCGUGGGGAGCAAACAGGAUUAGAUACCCCUGUAGUC
rnacentral:rRNA from 1 species